rnacentral:rRNA from 1 species
UCGCCUCUAGUUGCCAGCAUCGGUUGGGCACUCUAGAGGGACUGCCGGCGACAAGUCGGAGGAAGGUGGGGAUGACGUCAAAUCAUCAUGCCCUUAUGACCUGGGCUACACACGUGCUACAAUGGGCGGUACAAAGGGCUGCGAACCCGCGAGGGGGAGCGAAUCCCAAAAAGCCGCUCUCAGUUCGGAUUGCAGGCUGCAACUCGCCUGCAUGAAGCCGGAAUCGCUAGUAAUCGCGGAUCAGCAUGCCGCGGUGAAUACGUUCCCGGGCCUU